UAUUUUCUUAAAACUUAAAAAAUUUGGCGGUAACUUAUUUUAUCAGAGGAACUUGUUUUUUAAUCGAUAAUCCACGUUAUAUCUUACUUUUUUUUGUAGACUCAGUUUGUAUACCAUCAUUAUCAGGUAAUUUUGAAAAAAAUUACUUUAUCUAGUUUUCUACAAAAAUUAGAUCAAGGUGCAGCUAAUAAUAAAGUUAAAAUGAGUUACAAUAAAUUUUUUUAAUACGAAUUAUGCUGAAUGAAAUCCCAUAUAAAGGAGGAUUUGAUUGUAGUUAAAUUUUAAUAAAAUUUAGCGAAAUAAAUUCUAAGUUGUGUACAUAUCGCCCGUCGCUUCCAAUAUAUGUUGGAAUAAGUCGUAACAUAGUAGAUGUACUGGAAGGUGUAUCUAGGAUUA
rnacentral:rRNA from 1 species